GGGAAUAUUGGACAAUGGGCGAAAGCCUGAUCCAGCCAUGCCGCGUGAGUGAUGAAGGCCCUAGGGUUGUAAAGCUCUUUUGUGCGGGAAGAUAAUGACGGUACCGCAAGAAUAAGCCCCGGCUAACUUCGUGCCAGCAGCCGCGGUAAUACGAAGGGGGCUAGCGUUGCUCGGAAUCACUGGGUGUAAAGGGCGCGCAGGCGGGAUAAAAAGUCAGUGGUGAAAUCCUACAGCUUAACUGUAGAACUGCCUUUGAUACUUUCAUUCUUGAGUUCGGGAGAGAGAGACGGAAUUCCAGGUGUAGUGGUGAAAUACGUAGAUAUCUGGAAGAACACCAGUUGCGAAGGCGGUCUCUUGGUCCGAUACUGACGCUGAGGCGCGAAAGCGUGGGGAGCAAACA
rnacentral:rRNA from 1 species